CAUCACCCUCCCCAGGGUGCCUUCUCUGAGCCCUGGGCUGGGAGGCACCUCCGCUGCAGGUGGUGAGGACCCGAGGACCGCAGGUGAAGUUUUCUGACGAUGGUCCUAGGAAGUCCUGAAGCACCAUGGAGGCUGUACUGGGGCUCAAGGAUCGAGUCUGAAUCUCCAGCUGCUGCAUAACCAACUCCACUUCUUCAGUUUAAAGUGCUGAUCCGGGGCUUCCCUGGUGGCGCGGUGGUUGCGCGUCCGCCUGCCGAUGCAGGGGACGCGGGUUCGCGCCCCAGGCCGGGAGGAUCCCACAUGCCGCGGAGCGGCUGGGCCCGUGAGCCAUGGCCGCUGAGCCUGCGCGUCCGGAGCCUGUGCUCCAUGACGGGAGAGGCCACAGCAGAGGGAGG